AGAGUUUGAUCCUGGCUCAGAUUGAACGCUGGCGGCAGGCCUAACACAUGCAAGUCGAGCGGAUGAGGGGAGCUUGCUCCCUGAUUUAGCGGCGGACGGGUGAGUAAUGCCUAGGAAUCUGCCUGGUAGUGGGGGAUAACGUUCCGAAAGGAACGCUAAUACCGCAUACGUCCUACGGGAGAAAGCAGGGGACCUUCGGGCCUUGCGCUAUCAGAUGAGCCUAGGUCGGAUUAGCUAGUUGGUGAGGUAAUGGCUCACCAAGGCGACGAUCCGUAACUGGUCUGAGAGGAUGAUCAGUCACACUGGAACUGAGACACGGUCCAGACUCCUACGGGAGGCAGCAGUGGGGAAUAUUGGACAAUGGGCGAAAGCCUGAUCCAGCCAUGCCGCGUGUGUGAAGAAGGUCUUCGGAUUGUAAAGCACUUUAAGUUGGGAGGAAGGGCAUUAACCUAAUACGUUAGUGUUUUGACGUUACCGACAGAAUAAGCACCGGCUAACUUCGUGCCAGCAGCCGCGGUAAUACGAAGGGUGCAAGCGUUAAUCGGAAUUACUGGGCGUAAAGCGCGCGUAGGUGGUUCGUUAAGUUGGAUGUGAAAGCCCCGGGCUCAACCUGGGAACUGCAUCCAAAACUGGCGAGCUAGAGUACGGUAGAGGGUGGUGGAAUUUCCUGUGUAGCGGUGAAAUGCGUAGA
rnacentral:rRNA from 1 species